GUCCCUUUAUUCGUCUUCCUGU
rnacentral:miRNA from 1 species